ACUACAGUUAGUACAACACCGUUCCCACCAGAUACUACAGUUAGUACAACACCGUUCCCACCAGGUACUACAGUUAGUACAACACCGUUCCCACCAGAUACUACAGUUAGUACAACACCAUUCCCACCAGGUACUACAGUUAGUACAACACCGUUCCCACCAGAUACUACAGUUAGUACAACACCGUUCCCACCAGAUACUACAGUUAGUACAACACCGUUCCCACCAGAUACUACAGUUAGUACAACACCGUCCCUA